rnacentral:rRNA from 1 species
GACGAACGCUGGCGGCGUGCCUAAUACAUGCAAGUCGAACGCUGAAGGAGGAGCUUGCUUCUCUGGAUGAGUUGCGAACGGGUGAGUAACGCGUAGGUAACCUGCCUGGUAGCGGGGGAUAACUAUUGGAAACGAUAGCUAAUACCGCAUAAUAGCAGUUGUUGCAUGAUAACUGUUUGAAAGGUGCAAUUGCACCACUACCAGAUGGACCUGCGUUGUAUUAGCUAGUUGGUGGGGUAACGGCUCACCAAGGCGACGAUACAUAGCCGACCUGAGAGGGUGAUCGGCCACACUGGGACUGAGACACGGCCCAGACUCCUACGGGAGGCAGCAGUAGGGAAUCUUCGGCAAUGGACGGAAGUCUGACCGAGCAACGCCGCGUGAGUGAAGAAGGUUUUCGGAUCGUAAAGCUCUGUUGUAAGAGAAGAACGAGUGUGAGAGUGGAAAGUUCACACUGUGACGGUAUCUUACCAGAAAGGGACGGCUAACUACGUG